GAUAAUAGAUAACACUUUAAAAAAAACUCACAGCCUCACAACUCUCUUCCUUCCACGUAUUUCUCGGUUUCUCCAUAAAGCUUUCACUUUCUCUUGAAAUUGCACCUCGGCACCUCCUUUCCACCGCUACCCCCUUCUCGCUCCCGGUGCUCCACUGUAGCCCCCGUUCACCGCAGCUUACCUCCAUCGCAACCCGUGCUCCAAUUCGAAGACUUAUGCAACCAGUGCUCCUAGUUGAAGAGACAGCGGUGAUUGCCACCUCCAAAGACAGCGAUUGGCGCGGCACAUCCUGGGUUCCAUCUUCGGCGGCUUCAACCUUAAAGUUUGGGUUAGGCUGAUAAGCUUGUCGAGAAUUUAAGUAAUUGUGGGCAAAAGAGAUGUAGAAAUUAAGGCAAUGCCAGUUAUAAUCAGAGGAAUGGUGUUUGAUAUUCAAGCUACUGCUACUAUUCCUGCUACUGCCAAAACCACCACUCCUGGCAAGGACCUACAUCGUUUGCUCUUGUAAUUGAGAUGGCCAUGAGAAUUGUUGAGGAGAGUGGAGGACAAUACCAUGUUUUAUUGAUUAUUGCACAUGGGCAGCAGGAAUCCAAGACUUCUUAGGAGCAGCUGCAGCAGCCACAACCACCUGCUAGCUGCAAUCGAAUGACUGACUACUCUUCUUCCCACCCAACAAGAAAGGCGAGCCUUGUUACUGCUGCCGGCUAAUGUCACUGUCGUCUUCUGCUGCUGAUGUCUGCUGGCCUAGUACUGCUGUCUUCUGCUAUUUUCUAGCUGCUACUAUAUGGGCGCUAUUAUAAGCUGCUGUUACUGCUGUCUGUUUGCUAUUGCGCUUACUUAUUUUGCCUUUUCUGUUUUGGAAUUUGGUGGUCUGAUCUAGAGACUGAAGUUGAGUUUCUUUUUGUUUUCAUUAUUAGAUUGUUUAGCCAAACAAACAAUUUGGUGUUUAUGGAUGUUUUUUGUAAGUAACUAUGAAAUUAUAUCAAUUGAAAUUAUUGUCUAUUGUAUA